AAUAAGAAUAGGAACACUUCCUAUUUGAGGCACCUGGGCACCCGGUGUCCAAGUUGACCUGUUGAUGGACCCAGUGCCUAGGUUGACAUGUUGUCAACCAGGGGUGCUUUCGACCACAUUUUUGAAGAUGUCUCCCCUGAAUUUUCUUCUUCUUCUUCAUCAUCCAAAAUGAGGAAAAAAGUGCUAUAAAGAAAGAAACAAAUCAACUUGGAGGCCAAAUAGGUGACCCAACACCCAGGUUGACACUGGGCAUGGUCAUUAGCGCCCAAGUUGACAUUGGGCAUGGUCAUUAGUGUUGGGUUUUGUGCCCUAAAUUAAACCUAUUUCAAUAUAAUCAAAUUUACUAAUAAAUAAAAGAUCAGAAAUCAUUCUAUGUUCCAUGGUUAACAUGAUAUAUUUCAUGAUCAUAUACUUAAUGUAUAAAUUCUAUUAAGUCCAAAACAUAUAUAUUUAUUCAUGAUUAUAGUAUCGUCAGCACAGUGAAAUAUAAUCAUGAUUAUAUGUUCAAAAGUUUAAUUUCCAUGAUUUGUCAGUUCACUAGAUUUAGACUGACAUGAUGAUCGGUGAUAAGGUAUACUUACACCUUGGAUAAGUGUUAUGUCCUUUUCAGGGCAUUGGUAAAGUUUACCAGUAUCGGAUGUGUAGAGUAUACAUUGGAAGAGAUCGAUAUUGAUCUUGGAUAAUAAACUUACCGUUAUAUCUUUCUAAGUCAAUAUCAAUGGUUGAUCAUAGGUCUAUGGAUCUUAAUCCUGAUAUGGCUAGGUUCAGUUUAGUUGUAUUAUUUAUGUUCUUCAAGUUGUUCGUAGAUGCUAACAAAUGGUUCUGGCAGAUAUUUACAUCUUAGGAACAUGAUAGUUAAAUUGAGUGGGAGCGUUGAUUAUAGAUAUGGAAUCUAUAGCUUCUAUAAGUAUUUAAAAGUGAAACGAUAAUUUUCUUCGAGCUUGGCUGAUUAAGGCCUCAUUUUAGUAAUUAUAUUAGUUUACUGAAGUAUCAUUUAUAGGUAGCCAAGGGCAUGUUCGGUAACCAUUUUAAAAAUGGUUUUUUGUUUUUUUAAUCAAAAAUUUAAAAAUACAAAUAGAAAUUGUGUUUGGUAACUCAAUUUUAUUUUUUGUUUUUAAAAUUAAAAAAUAAAAUGAAGUAAAUUUUAAAAACAGAUUUGUGAUGAUUUUAAAAAUACUUUUUUCAUUUUCGCUUUUCUCUCUAGUUUAGUCACUUUCCUUAGCUCAGACAGUUCUUCCAUGGCUUAGCUUCACCAUUUCAGUUAAAUCCUCUCUCUCUCUCUGUAUAUUUAUAUUUCUCUAUUCCUCUCUCUCUCUCUCUCUCUCUCUCUCUCUCUCUCUCUCUCUCUCUCUCUCUCUAUAUAUAUAUAUAUAUAUCUCACCUGUCUCUCUUUUUAUUUCUUAGUUUUUUUUUUUUGUUAUUCCUUCAUUCGCAGAUUUGAAAAUGAGAAUAGCAUGACAAUGAGAAUGGCUUCGUAGAGAGAAAGACUUUUUGCUAUUACAGAUGACAGGAACAGAUAGUGAGGUGGUUAUUGUUGAAGGCUCGUUUUCCCAUUUUCAAGCAAAUGCCUUCAUAUUAUCUGAAAAUACAGAAUUACAUUGUGAUUGCCUGUUGUGGAUAUCACAAUUUUAUAAGGAAAAAUACAAAAAAAAGACAUUUUGAUGGAGAUGAAGACAUUCCUAAAGUACAAGAUGCUACUAUACAAAGCACUCACGAAACUUUGAAUAAUAGUGUUGAGUUUAGCAUUUCAAGAGAUCAAAUUCGUGAAAUGGCUAAUGUCCGUGAUGAAAUUGUUGAUCAUAUAUGGAGAGCAAAUCGACAAUGAAGAUAAUGAGUGAAGCUUAUUAACAAUUAGAACUUUUUUAAUAUUUUUCGUCAAGAUUGGACAAUUAUUAGUUCAUAUUUUAUUAUGACUUUGUCGGUUUUGUAUUAUUAUAGAUAAUGAGUUUCGUGAUUUUAAAUUACUUGAAAUUUUUUAAGAUGUUAAUGAGUAUUUUUUAUUUGAUUUUUUUUAUAAUUUUUA